rnacentral:lncRNA from 1 species
GGGAUUCGACCUUGAAUCCUCUUCUUGCAAAAUCAAAGAAGGACAAACAAGUAAAACAUCCUCAUGUCAUGAGGGUUAGGAUUACCAAAAUACACACAUUACAUGCCAUGCGAAGGUGGGACAAACUUGGAGUAUACCUACGAGUCCUUUGUGUUAAACAUGAAAACCUUAGUAUAAAUGGUACAAAGGAAGAGGUCAUCAUCAACAAAAAGAGACAAGGAAGAACCUUGCCUUUCUUCAUUACCACCCACAAUCAAAUAUUGCUUGUCGUCUUGACCAAGCAUCAAGUGGGAAAUGUAGAAAUUCCUACAUUCCAGGAAGGUGUCGGGGUUAAAUGAGAGAAUUAUCCAAGGGUCUAAGCCUAGGUUAACCCUUCUUCCCCUAGAAUGUCACUCCCACAACUACACAUGACAUUUUUCUUUAAGAGAAGACUAACAUUAAAGAAUAGAGAGACAUGGCCUAGAAGUCCUACCUUAAAAAGACAUAUGCCAUCAGUUAUAACAUUUCCAUACACAUGAUCUCUAUGAACAAAACUACUAACAAGUAUUUUACCACACACGAUGUUUAAAGAGUCACGUGCACCAUCAAGAUCAACUCUAUAAACACCAUCACUAACUUGAGAUUUUUUAAGCAAGCCACACAUAUGCUCAAGUAGAGGAAUACAUUUAUGAGUAAGUUGAUCUUCAUUCACAUCCUCACUAGUUGUUGGCAACUCACAUACCAAAGUAGACUCACCUUGGUUCGCACAAGGAUCAACUAGUGUGUGAUUACUCUUGUCAAUUGGUAAUAGAACCUUGUUCAAGUUAUAAGGGCUAGCACUAGAUGAAAAUAAAUCAUCCUUACAAGAAGAAUCAAUUUUGUCAUCUAAAGGAUCAACUAGUGCUUGUAUACUUACAACAAGAGUUUGGUCCUCACGUAACCUAACAUUACCAAGAGUAUCACCAUAGGGAGACUCAAACAUCUCUACUCUAGAUAAAUUCGCAACUACAUCCAAUUGGCCACUACUAGCCAUAACACAAUAUUCUAAGUUCAUAGGAGUGUAGGAAAUAGUAGGGAAUAGUGUUUUUACCUCAUAGCUCAUAUGAGCUAUGGCCUUUCUCUUGACUUGUGUCCGGGAAACCUACUUGCUCCCUUUGACCUACCAUCGAUCCAAUCUUUCAUUUGCCAUAGAUAGGUCUCGGGACAUAGUGUCAAGGUAGGCCAAAAUGACAUUGGUGGAAUUGUUAUCCAUGGGUUGAGAGGUGGAAGCCGCGGGUUACCUUGU